rnacentral:rRNA from 1 species
ACAAGCGGUGGAUGAUGUGGUUAAUUCGAUGCAACGCGAAAACCUUACCCACCUUUGACAUGUACGGAAUCCUUUAGAGAUAGAGGAGUGCUCGAAAGAGAACCGUAACACAGGUGCUGCAUGGCUGUCGUCAGCUCGUGUCGUGAGAUGUUGGGUUAAGUCCCGCAGCGAGCGCAACCCUUGUCAUUAGUUGCUACAUUCAGUUGGGCACUCUAAUGAGACUGCCGGUGACAAACCGGAGGAAGGUGGGGAUGACGUCAAGUCCUCAUGGCCCUUAUAGGUGGGGCUACACACGUCAUACAAUGGAUGGUACAAAGGGUCGCCAACCCGCGAGGGGGAGCCAAUCCCACAAAGCCGGUCGUAGUCCGGAUCGCAGUCUGCAACUCGACUGCGUGAAGUCGGAAUCGCUAGUAAUCGCGGAUCAGCAUGUCGCGGUGAAUACGUUCCCGGGUCUU